ACUACUUUUUGAAUCAUGGAGAAGAAGGAGAGAGAGCGUGGUGCCGAAAGAAACGGAGUAAAGAAGCGGAGAAGAAGAUCGUUUGAAAUAAUUUCAUUUUAGCUUUGUGAAUAUAAAAUUGUUAUUAUUUAUUUCAUUGCAUUUAUUUUAGUUUAUUGCUUUACGUUUUAGACCGUUGUUUAAACGCCAGCGAUAUGUUUCUGUUAGAAAAAGGUUGAGCUUCUUCUUUUUAUCUCAGCAGAACACAUUUUGUUUGAAAAACAAAGACUUCCUUAUAGGGCUCUCUGCUCUUGGUUAAUGUAAUUUCCCUGUUCAUAGCUCAAAGCUACCCUCUGAGCGUGACUCGGGUUUUGUUUGUAAAAAUCUUUCUACUUUUCUCUACAUCGAGUUGAAAAUGGUUUGGAAUUUGGAUCAAUUUCCAACUUGGGUUCCAUCCCCUUCGUCUUCCGAAGCUCUCAGCGACGGACAUAGCCUUAAGCCUCCUUCUUUUAUCUUCUUCUAGCCUUUAAAGCGAGAAAGAGAGAGGGUUUUGUUCAACCCUCUCCUUUCUCUCUCACUGUGCGAAAUUCCCUAUUCGUUCUGCAAUCCAUCUCGACACCUAUCCCUGUAAAAACUGUAUGAUAUUCUCCGCUUUCUUCCUCAGUUUUUUUUUUUUCUUAAUUUUCUUUCUUUGAUUUGUGCAUCAAAUUUGGGGUGGGGUUCCCUUUUGUUUGCUUUGCAUGAUUUCUUCUUGAUGGAUGUAAAUUAUUAUUGUUAUUUUUUUUAAUAAAAUAAUUUAAUUGUUCUUAUUUACCAAUUUAGUUAGUGUGUAAAAUUUGAUUACUUUUAGUCGACAAUCUUCAAUUGAGCUGUUUGGGUGUUUGUAAAUUGUGUCGCUUCCUCAGUCACACUAGUCAAUUGAGCUAUAUAAGUGUUGAAGAAGCGACAUCUUAGUGUGUUUUUAAAUAUUAAAUGGCUCAACAUUAGUUCUUCAACACUUAAAUACCUAAGAAUUGAGGAUGUCCAUGAAGUUAUUUUCAAUUUUGAAAUUUCAGUGGAGAAACUUGAAUAUCUUUCUAUAUUUCCUUGACUCGACAAUAACUUAAAUCACAUGCUCCAAAACUUGAACAGUUUUAUUGGAUUGGAGAUGUUUCUCAUUACCCUUGUGAAGGAAAUUUGAGUCCCUGCAGCAUGCAGGUGUGUGUGUAUAUAUAUAUAUAUAUAUAGUUCCUGUGGAUGAUGAGCAACCAAUUUUAGAUAAUGAGUUUGAGGACUUAGUUAAUAAAUUAUGGUUAACAUUUUACAAACAAUAUACCUAGUUUCAUAGUUCCAUGUGUAUGAUUUUUUUUAAUUAAGGUACUUUAAAUUUUAGUUUUUUAUUAAUCUUUUAGGUGAUAUCUUCGUAAAAGUCGGCAGAGCCAGAAUUUUGUAACUUGGUGUUAUCUGACUGUGAUAAGCAUUGAUUUGGAUGGCACAAUCCCAUUGACUGUGAUAAGCAUUGAUUUUGUAACUUCCUUUCUCAAUUUGACACUGCAUUUGAAUACUUUGAAAAUAGAUCUAGGUUGUCCUGACCAUUCAAGCGAUGCAAUUGUUACCAUAUCUACAUAUGCGGGAAUUGCUAAUACACAUGAAUUUGCACGUGUCAUAAAGUUCAUUUGUUAUUCAGAAACAAUAAUUUAAAAUUGGUCUCGUGUGGUAUUCUAAUGCUACAAAAAGAAGCUCAAUUUUGCUAGAAAUUUACCUUCAUACUGAUUGUUACUCCUGUAUUCCUACUUGCUAAGUUGCACAUUUAUCACAUCCUGUGGUUUUCUUUCGAACUUUUCUAGUCUUAUUCAUCAUCAUCACAGGAGAAGAUAUCUAAUAAUACAACUUAUUGGGAGUUUCAAAAUCUGAAAUGUGUUGACUCAUUAAGGGAGAUAGAAAUGGAGAUUGAUGGAAAGCAGAAUAAGAUAGAACUGAUUAAAUGCUUGCUCAAAAAUGCAAAAGCACUAGGGAAGUUCACCACUCUUUUUAUUUUUUGUUCAUCUAAUGUACUACCUAGUGAAAUAUUAGAAUCAAAGACUCGUAAAGAGCUUCAACAAUUCAAAAAAGUUUGUUCCUCUACCACUUUGUUUAUCCUUCCAAGAUAAUUAGUAGAUAGGUUGAUACUUUUGGGAAUGGUUGCCAAGUUUUAACUAGCAAUUUCUGACAGUCUAAACUGUAAAUUCUAGUGUUUGAUCAUGGUAAAUUUUUCUGAAUUCCAUUCUAGCUUGAACUCUUAUGGAUUUAAAGUUUUGGCAUAAUUGAUCUAUCAUUUUUGGUUUUAUGAAUUGGCUGUCAUACUCUUGAAGUCUCUAAAGCAGCUUUUGUUAUUAUCACACACUCCGCAGAUAAUCAGAUAUGUCACCACCAUUACUUGUGAUCUGUACUAAAUUUUCCAGGUUCCUAUUCUAUCGGAGCUUGUAUGGUUUGGUGGGCUUAAUCAUAAAUAUCCUUUUUUAUGAUCUUUAUCUAUUGAUAAAAACUCUCUUAUUUUAUUUAUCUAUUUGUUUACUUUUUAGUGGUUUUUGUAUGGUGGGAUUUUUUUUAUUUGGCUUCAUUGUCAGCCUUAUGAGUUAUGAAACAAAACAAGUGAGCAAAAUGUAAAUUGAUAGAUUUCUUUAAUGCUCUACAAAAGAGCUCUCUACUUCAAUCUCUCUGCAAUUGUGUAAAGCGAGUGGGAGAAAGGUGAAGAUGAAAAAAACUUUGCUUGUCAAAACAUCACCAGGCAAAAUGACUGCUUCAGGCAACUAGCUGUAAUGUUGAAAAGAUAGUAUUUGAAUUUAUUGGUGAUUAAUUUCUUUAGUUUGCCUAGUGAUGUCUUGAAUUGUGCAUCUUAUCUCUUAAAAGAUUUGAAUUUGGAUUUGGUACUUGAUGCUCAAUAUGUGGACCAGGGUUUGAGAUUUUGACAUUUCACAUGGUAGUUUAUUAAAAGACUCGUCUUAACUCUUUAAGAAAUCUAGUUUAAUGGUAUAUUCGGCUUAGUCUUGAUUUCAUUAUCCAACUUUAUUAUUUAUGGACUUAGGACAGUAUUUUUCACUCGAAAAAUAGAGAGAAGACAAAAUUGUUGCAAAAUGACUCAUAGUUUUCCUUAUAAAAUAAAGCAUGUUGGUUAUACAGUCAAUCUGAUUCCAUUUCCAUUUUCAAGUAUUGGAUGGUUCCCAUCAUUCAUUUUAGUAUUGUUUGCAUUAUUUAUUGCACAACAACAAGGAAAAUGACAGAAGCUAUUAACUUGCCAAAAUGGGUGCUCUGGGGUAGCUAAUGGAUUUCAUCAGCUUCUUGUUCCUUGUUAUAGUCAUGAUAGGGGCGCCAUUGAUUGACUUGCAGAUUUGUUUACCUCCCAGUAUCUACCCCAAUUUCCUAAUUGAUGUGAAGAACUGGUACAUCCUUGACUAUAGAGAUCAUUUCUUUAUUGAAGAACCUCAUUUCUUUGGCAGGAUGAUUUGUCUUGAACUCAUCUUUCAGUGUACUCUGGCACUUCUCAAUCUGUAUGGCAUUUGAGAUCCAAGCCUUGGUUCAAAACCACCUGCUCGAUCUUUAUCAAUAUAUGCUGUAUUUGUCGAGAAUCAAGACCCUGAAAGCAUUAAUGGGAAAAACUCAAUAAGAUCUACAUUCCUCAUUGGGCAUAAAUAGGGGUGGAUGCAGAACUGAAAGAAUGGACCCUUGAAUUUAGACAUUGGUCUUAAUUUUUAAAAGAAAUUCGACUAUCCAUGUCACAUUUGUUGCCAAGGAGUAGUGCAACACUUUUGAUCUAAUGAGUAUCACAUUAAUUUACACAUACCACUAUAUGUUCUUUAAUUGAUAAUUAUUAUAUUUGGUUUUAAGAAGUUUUCCUUGAUAGUUUACCGUUAGAAAUGCAGUACAAACUAAUAAUUGUAUCGGAUAUCAAUACUUGGGUAAUAAAAAAUAAAUAAUAAUUAAUUAUUCUUCUUCA